CCCCCCCCCCCCCACCAAAUAAUACGGCUGGGAUAUUUGAGGGGAACAUAUACCACACCACGGUACACACGGACCCAACUGAACACCGCUGUUCUUUUCCUGCUUGGGACGCUUUCUGGUCGAUUGCAGUGAUUUGACCCACCUUUAGUAAUGAUGGAGGGAGCUGUGGAGAACUACAGGCAGCAGGAAGUAGAAGUCAAAACGAGAUCUCUGGGAUUUUGCUCCCUACUGGAACCACGUGAGGUUGGAAUGGAGACCUCGUAGAUCAUGACCUAGAAACAAAUGGCAUAAUGACAGGAGUCUCCAGGCUAAAGAUGUCAAGGAUAUUCAACUGAUCUCAGAGGUUAAUGAGGUCCUGAUCAACCAUGGGUCCUGCAUUUCAUCAAGAUGAGCUUCAAGAUGUCAAUGAGCUUCACAAUACUCUUUACAACACUUGGACCUGCACUGUACUCUUUAUUUCUGUAUGUGCGUCAACUGAUUAUAUACAAUUAUUGGCCAAACCGACUAAUAGUGUGACCUUGCCCUAAUAUACAACUGUAUUUAUAUGGAUUUAUUAGUUUUAUAUGAAAGAAUACUUAAUAAGAAAAUAAGAUGAACAUAUUCUUGAACAUUGAAACUUGGAUUUAUUUCAUGUAAUUGAUUGAGUCUAACAAGUCUACAUUUUGACAGCUGAAUAAAAGGCAUUUUUUUCUCCAUAAAGUGAUGUUUUAGUGUGAGUUAUUUCCUUCUUUCUGUGUAGUGCGUUGGCACUCCAGGUAAAGAACAAUGUGCUUGACAUAAUUGGGUCCUAUUUGGUUAUGAAAAGAGCAUGCGUGCUGAUAAAAGUUGGAAGGGUGAUCAAAGCACCACGUGUCCCGAUCAAAAUCAUACACCCGACACAGUUGUAGAUGUGAGGAAACAGGUUCAGACGGUACCAAGAAGCUUCCCUGUUUAAUAUCAGCUCCAUUUCACAUUGUGUGCUGUUGUUUUCGUGUACGGGUAUGUCUGUCAAAUCAAAUGUACCUCUGUGUGCAAAAUAUGAAGCAACAAUUAAAGAUUAGAAUGAU